UUCAGCUCGUAAGUUCCUAAGUUAGGGUUAAAAAAAUAAGAGAACUGGCCAAGCCUUCUUUCCUGCCCAGCCACGCACCCUCCUCCCAUCUUUCAUCAUGCAAAACCCAGUUGCCGGUCACCAGCUUCGAAGCCCACUGUCCGUUGCCGUCUUGCUCCAACCCGUGAAGCUGGGCAUCAUCUCCGCUUUGCCCACCGUCCGUCAUUAGUGUCCAUUGGGUCAUCCUGGAGCUUGUCUCAAAGCCUCAAACCCGUCGCCGUUCAUGUCAUCGUUGUGGAAGCCUCAAAGCUCUCCUCAAAUUUGCGAAUCGCCAGCUUCACGGGCCUGGUGUACAAAGCCCUCAAAGCUCUUUGUGUCAGCACUCACUCACUCCAUUGAGUAUUUCAACGUGCAAAGAAGGAGGACAAUGAAGAUCUAUCACAAUCUGAGAUGUUUAUUGUAACUCGUAUGAACAAAAAUAGAGAGACUGAUUUGAGAACACAAGAGACGAUUGAUCAUCUUCAAAAUUUGAAACAAUCAGGAUACAAUGAUGAUGAAGCAGUUCAAAUAGUUUUCAGAAAGGAGAGACAUGGUAGAGUUCGUUUCUAUGGUCGAUCAGUCACAAAAUCCUCUCUUAAAAAGGAUAAGGAAAAAAUUAAAGAGCUAUGGAGACAAGAAGAGAAGUUUUGGAUGCAAAGGUCGGGAAUUAAAUGGCUUAAGUGGGGGAGAUCGCAACACAACCUUCUUUCAUGCUUCAACUAUUUAUAGGAGGGAUAGGAACCGAGUAGACAGAUUGAGGAACAAUGAAGGUAACUGAAUUCGUAAUCAGAAAGAUAGUUUGGGACUAGUUGAGAAAUAUUAUUCGCAACUGUUCACAUCUGCUAGAGGGAGUAACAACAUACCCGAAUAUAUAAACUAUGUUCCUGUUAGAACAUCAUCAGACAUGAACAAUGACCUUCUAAAAGAAGUCACAGAGAAAGAAAUAAAGGAGUUUAUUUUUGGCAUGGAUGGAUCAAGAGCCCCAAGAUCCAAUGGUUUUAGUGGACAAUUUUAUCAGAGACAUUGGAACACCAUCCAAAAAACAAAUGUGCGGUGGUUAAAAUGAUGGUGGCCAGGUUGUGAGGUAUUAUGGAGAAAAUAGUUUCGCCUACUUAAAGUGCUUUUGUAAGUGGAAGAGUGAUCCAUGACAACAUAGUCAUUAUUCAAGAAGCUUUUCAUAGGAUCCCCAACAAAGGAAGAGAAGCCUCACUAGACUUAGCCAUUAAACUGGAUAUGAAUAAAGUGUAUGAUAGGAUAGAAUGGAAUUUCAUUGAAAAAGUUCUCAAGGCUUUUGGUUUUCACCAGAAGUGGAUUAAGCUAACCAUGGAAUGCAUCAGAAGUGUGACAUACAAGUUCAAAAUCAAUGGAACUCUCACUAGGAAAAUUAUUUCUCAGAGAGGAUUAAGACAGGGAAACCCCCUUUCACCAUACCUUUUUAUCAUUGUUUCGGAAGUUUUUACCAUACUUAUGGAUAGAGCUCUUAAUAAAAACUUGAUUUUGGGAGUCAAAUUA